UUCAUACGAUACAAAAAUAUAUUUACUAUCUAUAAAUAUAUUUUCAGCAACAAUAUUCUAGAAACACAAAAUAUAUUUGAAACAAAUCUUUCAUAUUUUUAGCGACAAUAUUCUCCAUCCAUCAAUUUUUGAGUCAAUUUUGAUGUGAAUGAAUGAAUAAACUGGCUGCAAACUCACGUGAGUGAUUCCGAUUCAUUUUUACAUUGCCUUCUUAUGAUGUCACUUACAUUCUCACUAGUCACUACAUUACAAACAAAUUAACAAAAGGAAAAAACACUAUGCAGCACUAGAUGAUAAAACAAACAAAAAAACAAUACGUAAAAUAUUUAUUUUGUCACAUGAACCAUUCAAUUAU
rnacentral:lncRNA from 1 species